GCUUAGCUCAGUUGGUUACAGCAUGGUACUGAUAGCGCCAUGGUUGCAGGUUCGAUCCCCAUAUGGGGCU